AUGGAGAAUCCCCGCACCGAUCCCAGGGACUACGACGACGACGGCGGCCUGAAGCGCACCGGCACGGUAUGGACGGCCACUGCACGCAUCAUCACGGCCGUGAUCGGGUCUGGCGUCCUGGCGCUGCCGUGGGCAUCGGCGCAGCUCGGCUGGGUGAUCUACCCGAUCAUGGUGCUGCUCUUCGCCGGCAUCAUCUGCUACACCUCCGCGCUGCUCUCGGACUGCUACCGAUCCGGCGACCCGAGCCACGGCGAGCGCAACUGCACAUACAUGGACACCGUCAAGGCCAGCCUAGGACGCGCACAGGUUUGGCUAUGCCAGUUUUCUGCAUACUCCAACGUCUUUGGGGUGGCCAUCGGGCAUACCAUCGCCGCCGGCAUGAGCAUGUUGGCAAUCCAGCGGAGGGCUAGCUGCUUCCAGCACAACAAGGGCCACCGCCACCCGUGCAAUUUCCCAAUCUGGCCCUAUAUGAUAACCUUCGGCGUGGCGGAGAUCUUCUUCUCGCAGAUCCCGGAGUACCAUACGUGGUGGUUCUCAUAUCUCGGCCCCGCCAUGUCCUUCACCUAUUGCUCUAUCGGCGUCGGGAUCAGCAUCGCCAAAGUCGUCGAGAACGGAGUCCUCAAGGGCGGCCUCGUCGGCAUCGGCAUGACCGCGGUGACCGCGUCCCCGAUGAGUAAGGUGUGGGGAAGCCUGGAGGCGCUGGGCGUCAUCGCCUUCGUCUACUGCUACUCAAGAAUCUUAAUCGAGAUCCAGGACACCAUCAAAGCGCCUCCUCCGCCCGAGUCCAAGGUCAUGAAGCUUGCCACCGCCAUGGGCGUCGCUGUCACCACGUUCUUAUACCUGCUCUUUGGCUUCAUGGGGUACGCCGCGCUGGGGGGCGCUACCCCAGGGAACCUGCUCGCGGGGCUCGGCUUCUACGAGCCAUACUGGGUCGUCGACAUCGCCAACGUGGCAAUCAUCGUCCACCUCGCCGUCGCUUACCAGGUCUACUGCCGGCCCAUUUACGACUUCGUCGAGAGGUGCGCCGCGCGUAGGUGGCCGGAGUCGUCCUACGUCACAAGGGAGUUCGACGUGCUCGUCUUGAGGUCGUCGUACAAGCUGAACCUAUUCCGAGCUACGUGGCGGACCGCGUUCGUGGUCACCACCACGGUGGUGGCGGCGCUGCUGCCCUUCUUCCACGACGUGGUGGCGCUCGUCGGCGCACUGGGGUUCUGGCCGUUGUGUGUCUACAUCCCAGUGGAGAUGUACGUGACCCAGAAGAAGGUGCUUAGGUGGAGCCCCCUGUGGGUGUGGCUGCAGAUCCUCAGCCUCGGCUGCCUCUUCGUCUGCUUGGCCGCCAUGGCCGCGUCCAUCGUCGGUAUCAUCACUAUUCAUAAGAAGUAA
rnacentral:rRNA from 1 species